rnacentral:pre_miRNA from 1 species
AGCUUUGAGGGGAAUGUUGUCUGGCUCGAAGCCACUAUCUCCUCUUGAUUUAACCUAGUUCAAGAAGUAGUAUGAGUAUUUUUGUCAAAGUUGUAUGAACAAACAAUAAUGAGAGAUAGUGUCGUCGGACCAGGCUUCAUUCCCCCCAAUUUGGA